rnacentral:lncRNA from 1 species
CUAGGACUACAGGCGCAAGCCACCACACCCAGGUCCUGAGUUGUUAUCGCAAGUCCAGGAAGAAUGAGGUUACUCAGGCAACUGGAGGGUGAGGAUGGAGAAGAGCUUUAUUGAGCAACAGAACAGCUCUCAGCAGAGAGGAGACCCAAAGUGGGUAGCUCCUACCUGCAGGAAGAAGUAAUCAAAUUUUCUUGCCAAUUGUGUCUUUAACCAUGGCUGAUCUAAGACUGUUGCCAUCCACAGACAAUUAUUGUUUUACUUUUUGAUUCUUCUCAAAAAGAGGUUCAUAAUCAGCUGUAGACCAAAAUUUGCUUCUAUAUGGAAAUUCAUGGAAAAGACUCUGACAAGUAUUCUUAAAUACAGGUUUCUGAAGGGGGCCAAGAUGGCCCAAUAGGAACAGCUCCAGUCUGCAGCUCCCAGAAAGACCAACGCAGAAGGCAGGUGAUUUCUGCAUU